rnacentral:piRNA from 1 species
GUCAGGAGGACUUUUCUGGAGGA